AACGAACGCUGGCGGCAGGCCUAAAACAUGCAAGUCGAACGCCCUAGCAAUAGGGAGUGGCGCACGGGUGAGUAACACGUGGGAAUGUGCCUUUUGGUACGGAACAACUUUUGGAAACGAAAGCUAAUACCGUAUGGUCCCUUCGGGGUAAAGAUUUAUCGCCAAAAGAGCAGCCCGCGUCUGAUUAGCUAGUUGGCGGGGUAAUGGCCCACCAAGGCGACGAUCAGUAGCUGGUCUGAGAGGACGAUCAGCCACACUGGGACUGAGACACGGCGCAGACUCCUACGGGAGGCAGCAGUUAGGAAUAUUGGACAAUGGGCGCAAGCCUGAUCCAGCCAUGCCGCGUGAGUGAUGAAGGCCUUCGGGUUGUAAAGCUCUUUAGUCCACGAAUAUAAUGACUGUAGUGGAAGAAUAAGCCCCGGCUAACUUCGUGCCAGCCGCCGCAGUAACAC
rnacentral:rRNA from 1 species